UGCGGUCCUGUAGCUUAGUGGUUAGAGCACUCGCCCCUUGCGAGCGAGAGGGCCUGGGUUUGAUUCCCAGUAGGGCAA